rnacentral:lncRNA from 1 species
AUUAAGAUUGUAAUCCUUUUGUGUACCUCCUCUCGGGGGGGUCAUAUGUGUUAAAGAUUAAUCUUGUAUGUUGUGGUUGUAAUGUCAUUGUGUGUCUCAUGUUUCAUCUAAGUUUUUCUUCCACAUUAUCGUGGUCGUUUUCUUCUCUCUAGUUGGUUGACUGUUGAACUCUCCCUCAGUGAGAAAACCCAUUGAUUCAAAGGCGGGAAAAGAAGCAUCCUCUGGUGUAAUGGAUAGAAGGGUAAGACCCGUGCCCCUCGUGCUUCUUCUCAGGCUUCCUCAUCAGAUUGCAGGCACCAUCAUGUGCUUCUUCUUAGGCUUCCUCAUCAGAUUGCAGGCACCAUCCUGUGCUUCUUCUCAGGCUUCCUAAGUGGAGAGACGAGGCUUUGGAGCUGGUUCUUUUUUUGCCAAAGAGAUCAUCUUAAGUAGAGAGAGAAAAUACUUUCUCCACUUUUUCAAUAAGGCAGGUACAUAGCUUGUUCUUUCUCUGUGGUUUCAUAGGCUUUGAUAGUGGUUUUCAGGGACUUGCAAGGUGCUUUGUCGGUCGGUUUUUCAAGGAUUGAUGUGGGGGUUUUGAUAGUAAUUUUUCGGUGAUUAUUUAUAGGUUUGAUGGCCGUUCUCAAAUGAUUUUGUGAGGGUUUUAUGGUGGUUUUUUGAGACUUUUUUGAGGUUUUAUGGUGGUUUUUUGAGACUUUUUUGAAUGUUUUAUGUUGGUUUUCUAGAGAUUUUUUUGGGUUCUUAUAGUGAUUUUAUAUGGAAAAGGGGUUUUCUCUAGGAUUUCUUCUAUCUAGAAGGGGCUUUUCGGUGCUUCUCUCAAAGGAGUCACUAGAGGGCCUUUUGGGUGAGGUUGUCGGUUAGUAAAAGUUUUCUUGGGCUCUACAGAGGUUUUCAUGGGGGCCAUCUCUUCAUGUUAUUUCUUGGUUAUUUCUACUUAUUUUAUGCCUUGGAUUCUUAGGUAAAUUGCAAAAAAUAAAAUAAAAUUUCCUGCAAGAAAAGUUGAACGCAGAUUAUUUUUUUUAAUGGGACGGGCAGGACAAAUAAGCCUAAUGGGCUUUUCUGUGAGGGCUGGCAAAAAAUAAUUUGCAAAAUUUGUUUUCCCUACCAGAAAAGUUGAUUUUUUGUAAAAAAAAAAAAAACGAGACCCAAUAUUCCUAAUGGGCUGGGCCGAUCUUUCAGUAAAGUUCCAGGCCUUUACGGGCGGGCUUUACUGGCAUAGUUUCUCUUCCGGGCCUCCUCUCUUCCGGUCCGGCAUUCCGGCCUCUCCGUCCCGGGCCGUGCCAGCACUAUAUGUAAAUCACUCCCGUAAUUAUCCAUCCCAUCGCAGCACGCCCUUCAUUUAUCGUUUCUUUAUAAAUAUGACGCAGUGAAUUAAGAGGGAGAAGAAUCGAGAGAGUUGCUAGAGAGAGGGGAGGAAAGGUUCUUCUUUAGAGAGAGAAAGGGAGUUUCCUUAGAGAGAGAAAGAAGAUGAUCGAGGCAUUUGUGAGCGAUGGUUUGCGAAACAAGGCAACGAAGAUGACACAAUUUGGUAUAACACCUGCCCAAAUUCGCAUUCAGAAAUGGUUUCAUAUUUACCCGGGCCAUAAAACCCUAAAGGUCUGCGGGAUUCUCAGUGAAAUGCGCCAUGAAGUUUACUACAACUGAUUUGGUAUUCUUCUCUCUCUCUCUAAACAUCUUUUUAGGGUUUGGAAUGGGUCAAUCUUUUU